rnacentral:rRNA from 1 species
AUUGAACGCUGGCGGCAGGCCUAACACAUGCAAGUCGAACGGUAACAGGGAUCAGCUUGCUGAUUCGCUGACGAGUGGCGGACGGGUGAGUAAUGUCUGGGAAACUGCCUGAUGGAGGGGGAUAACUACUGGAAACGGUAGCUAAUACCGCAUAACGUCGCAAGACCAAAGAGGGGGACCUUCGGGCCUCUUGCCAUCGGAUGUGCCCAGAUGGGAUUAGCUAGUAGGUGGGGUAACGGCUCACCUAGGCGACGAUCCCUAGCUGGUCUGAGAGGAUGACCACCCACACUUGGACCGAGACCCCGGCCCAGCUCCCAAGGGAGGCAGCAGUGGGGAAUAUUGCACAAUGGGCGCAAGCCUGAUGCAGCCAUGCCGCGUGUAUGAAAAAGGCCUUCGGGUUGUAAAGUACUUUCAGCGGGGAGGAAGGGAGUAAAGUUAAUACCUUUGCUCAUUGACGUUACCCGCAGAAGAAGCACCGGCUAACUCCGUG